AUUGAACGCUGGCGGCAUGCCUUACACAUGCAAGUCGAACGGUAACAGAUCUUCGGAUGCUGACGAGUGGCGAACGGGUGAGUAAUACAUCGGAACGUGCCUAGUAGUGGGGGAUAACUACUCGAAAGAGUGGCUAAUACCGCAUGAGAUCUACGGAGGAAAGCAGGGGAUCGCAAGACCUUGUGCUACUAGAGCGGCCGAAGGCAGAUUAGGUAGUUGGUGGGAUAAAAGCUUACCAAGCCGACGAUCUGUAGCUGGUCUGAGAGGACGAUCAGCCACACUGGGACUGAGACACGGCCCAGACUCCUACGGGAGGCAGCAGUGGGGAAUUUUGGACAAUGGGCGCAAGCCUGAUCCAGCAAUGCCGCGUGCAGGAUGAAGGCCUUCGGGUUGUAAACUGCUUUUGUACGGAACGAAAAGCCCUGGGUUAAUACCCUGGGGUCAUGACGGUACCGUAAGAAUAAGCACCGGCUAACUACGUGCCAGCCGCCGCAGUAAGAC
rnacentral:rRNA from 1 species